rnacentral:rRNA from 1 species
GACGAACGCUGGCGGCGUGCCUAAUACAUGCAAGUCGAACGCAGUGGGGACGGGUGAGUAACACGUGGGUAACCUCCCAUCAGAGGGGAUAACACUUGGAAACAGGUGCUAAACCGAUACUGAUGGAUGGACCCGCGGUGCAUUAGCUAGUUGGUGAGGUAACGGCUCACCAAGGCCACGAUGCAUAGCCGACCUGAGAGGGUGAUCGGCCACACUGGGACUGAGACACGGCCCAGACUCCUACGGGAGGCAGCAGUGGGGAAUAUUGGGCAAUGGACGAAAGUCUGACCGAGCAACGCCGCGUGAAUGAAGAAGGUUUUAGGGUCGUAAAACUCUGUUGGGAGAGAAGCGGUAUCUAAACAGAAAGCCACGGCUAACUACGUGCCAGCCGCCGCGGUAAUUC